AUACGCUGGCGGCGUGCUUACACCAUGCAGUCGAACGAACUUCGGGUUAGUGGCGGACGGGUGAGUAACGCGUGAGAAUCUGCCCUCAGGAGGGGGACAACAGUUGGAAACGACUGCUAAUACCCCAUAUGCCGCGAGGUGAAAUGAAUUUCGCCUGAGGAUGAGCUCGCGUCUGAUUAGCUAGUUGGUGUAGGUAAUGGCUCACCAAGGCAUCGAUCAGUAGCUGGUCUGAGAGGAUGAUCAGCCACACUGGGACUGAGCACACGGCCCAGACUCCUACGGGAGGCAGCAGUGGGGAAUUUUCCGCAAUGGGCGAAAGCCUGACGGAGCAACGCCGCGUGAGGGAUGAAGGCCUCUGGGCUGUAAACCUCUUUUAUCAAGGAAGAAGAUCUGACGGUACUUGAUGAAUAAGCCACGGCUAAUUCCGUGCCAGCAGCCGCGGUAAUACGGGAGUGGCAAGCGUUAUCCGGAAUUAUUGGGCGUAAAGCGUCCGCAGGCGGCCCUUCAAGUCUGCUGUUAAAAACGUGGAGCUUAACUCCAUCAUGGCAGUGGAAACUGUUGGGCUUGAGUGUGGUAGGGGCAGAGGGAAUUCCCGGUGUAGCGGUGAAAUGCGUA
rnacentral:rRNA from 1 species